GUGCAGACUCGAUCACUUGCUCUGCAUGAUGUUGCAGGAGUGAGGGGGAACCAGGUUUGCUAAAGUAAUUGUGGUGAUAGAAAUGGAUUAGCCUUGGAUAGUACCAAGGUGGUCUACUCUUUCCCAGUACAUUA
rnacentral:snoRNA from 1 species